AAAAGGUGCUUGAACUGUCGCUGGCUGGAGAUCACCAACAACAAGGAGAGCAGGGACUCAUGUUCCACCCAACCAGGCCAAGCUCUUUGACCCAGUGAUGUCAUCUAUGAUGUCACUACCGCCUCAUCGGCACUGCCUGUUUUUGGUCUGAAUGAGAUGUGCCUUAUAAGUCCCAAGCCUGUGACUACUGGGCUCACAGUUGGUGGCUGUUGGAGGAGAAUUAGAAGGGAAAUAUAGCUAACGAUGGGACUGCUGGUGAUGAACGCCCAAACUGCAGGACUGGGGGAUGGCUCACUGGAGAAAUCAGUUGUCAGACAGAGUCCAGAUCACUGGGAUGGAUAUAGAUGCCCUUUGUUCAGUUCUUGGAGAUCCAGGAGCAUGGGAAACAAACUCAACCAAUACAACCUAACAUCCUAGAAGCCAGACACAAUCAAGUCCUCUUCAAUCUGGAGACAGCCGACUGAGUGGUUGAACAUCUGUGCCCUGGUGCCAGGCUGGCUGGGCUUUAAACCCUGUCUUGCCAAGCUACCGAGCUGCUCCCCUGCCUCGAUUGUUUCAUUUGGAAGGUGGAGAUUAUGGCUUGAACGUCUUUAUAGGGUUGUUUUGUUGAAGAUGAGAGAGUUAAUAGACACGAAGCACAUAGUCACACACAAUAAACACUCAAUAAAAGGCUUUAUUAACUUAAAUAUAUUUCUUCAUAG
rnacentral:lncRNA from 1 species